AUCUCCCAAGGCUAAAUACUCCCUAGUGACCGAUAGUGAACCAGUACCGUGAGGGAAAGGUGAAAAGCACCCCGGAAGGGGAGUGAAACAGUUCCUGAAACCGUGUGCCUACAAGUAGUUAGAGCCCGUUAAUGGGUGAUAGCGUGCCUUUUGUAGAAUGAACCGGCGAGUUACGAUUUGUUGCAAGGUUAAGCGGAAAAAGCGGAGCCGUAGCGAAAGCGAGUCUGAAUAGGGCGCAUAAGUAACAGGUCGUAGACCCGAAACCAGGUGAUCUACCCAUGUCCAGGAUGAAGGUAAGGUAAUACUUACUGGAGGUCCGAACCCACGCACGUUGAAAAGUGCGGGGAUGAGGUGUGGGUAGCGGAGAAAUUCCAAUCGAACUUGGAGAUAGCUGGUUCUCUCCGAAAUAGCUUUAGGGCUAGCCUCGAGGUAAAGAGUCAUGGAGGUAGAGCACUGUUUGGACUAGGGGCCCUUCUCGGGUUACCGAAUUCAGAUAAACUCCGAAUGCCAUGUACUUAUACUCGGGAGUCAGACUGCGAGUGAUAAGAUCCGUAGUCGAAAGGGAAACAGCCCAGACCACCAGUUAAGGUCCCCAAAUAUAUGUUAAGUGGAAAAGGAUGUGGGGUUGCUUAGACAACCAGGAUGUUGGCUUAGAAGCAGCCACCAUUGAAAGAGUGCGUAAUAGCUCACUGGUCGAGUGACCCCGCGCCGAAAAUGUACCGGGGCUAAACAUAUUACCGAAACUGUGGAUGAACCUCUUUAGAGGUUCGUGGUAGGAGAGCGUUCUAAGGGCGGUGAAGUCAGACCGGAAGGACUGGUGGAGCGCUUAGAAGUGAGAAUGCCGGUAUGAGUAGCGAAAGAAGGGUGAGAAUCCCUUCCACCGAAUAUCUAAGGUUUCCUGAGGAAGGCUCGUCCGCUC
rnacentral:rRNA from 1 species